rnacentral:rRNA from 1 species
AGCGUACACGGUGGAUGCCCUGGCAGUCAGAGGCGAUGAAGGACGUGCUAAUCUGCGAUAAGCGUCGGUAAGGUGAUAUGAACCGUUAUAACCGGCGAUUUCCGAAUGGGGAAACCCAGUGUGUUUCGACACACUAUCAUUAACUGAAUCCAUAGGUUAAUGAGGCGAACCGGGGGAACUGAAACAUCUAAGUACCCCGAGGAAAAGAAAUCAACCGAGAUUCCCCCAGUAGCGGCGAGCGAACGGGGAGCAGCCCAGAGCCUGAAUCAGUGUGUGUGUUAGUGGAAGCGUCUGGAAAGGCGCGCGAUACAGGGUGACAGCCCCGUACACAAAAAUGCACAUGCUGUGAGCUCGAUGAGUAGGGCGGGACACGUGGUAUCCUGUCUGAAUAUGGGGGGACCAUCCUCCAAGGCUAAAUACUCCUGACUGACCGAUAGUGAACCAGUACCGUGAGGGAAAGGCGAAAAGAACCCCGGCGAGGGGAGUGAAAAAGAACCUGAAACCGUGUACGUACAAGCAGUGGGAGCACGCUUAGGCGUGUGACUGCGUACCUUUUGUAUAAUGGGUCAGCGACUUAUAUUCUGUAGCAAGGUUAACCGAAUAGGGGAGCCGAAGGGAAACCGAGUCUUAACUGGGCGUUAAGUUGCAGGGUAUAGACCCGAAACCCGGUGAUCUAGCCAUGGGCAGGUUGAAGGUUGGGUAACACUAACUGGAGGACCGAACCGACUAAUGUUGAAAAAUUAGCGGAUGACUUGUGGCUGGGGGUGAAAGGCCAAUCAAACCGGGAGAUAGCUGGUUCUCCCCGAAAGCUAUUUAGGUAGCGCCUCGUGAAUUCAUCUCCGGGGGUAGAGCACUGUUUCGGCAAGGGGGUCAUCCCGACUUACCAACCCGAUGCAAACUGCGAAUACCGGAGAAUGUUAUCACGGGAGACACACGGCGGGUGCUAACGUCCGUCGUGAAGAGGGAAACAACCCAGACCGCCAGCUAAGGUCCCAAAGUCAUGGUUAAGUGGGAAACGAUGUGGGAAGGCCCAGACAGCCAGGAUGUUGGCUUAGAAGCAGCCAUCAUUUAAAGAAAGCGUAAUAGCUCACUGGUCGAGUCGGCCUGCGCGGAAGAUGUAACGGGGCUAAACCAUGCACCGAAGCUGCGGCAGCGACACUAUGUGUUGUUGGGUAGGGGAGCGUUCUGUAAGCCUGUGAAGGUGUACUGUGAGGUAUGCUGGAGGUAUCAGAAGUGCGAAUGCUGACAUAAGUAACGAUAAAGCGGGUGAAAAGCCCGCUCGCCGGAAGACCAAGGGUUCCUGUCCAACGUUAAUCGGGGCAGGGUGAGUCGACCCCUAAGGCGAGGCCGAAAGGCGUAGUCGAUGGGAAACAGGUUAAUAUUCCUGUACUUGGUGUUACUGCGAAGGGGGGACGGAGAAGGCUAUGUUGGCCGGGCGACGGUUGUCCCGGUUUAAGCGUGUAGGCUGGUUUUCCAGGCAAAUCCGGAAAAUCAAGGCUGAGGCGUGAUGACGAGGCACUACGGUGCUGAAGCAACAAAUGCCCUGCUUCCAGGAAAAGCCUCUAAGCAUCAGGUAACAUCAAAUCGUACCCCAAACCGACACAGGUGGUCAGGUAGAGAAUACCAAGGCGCUUGAGAGAACUCGGGUGAAGGAACUAGGCAAAAUGGUGCCGUAACUUCGGGAGAAGGCACGCUGAUAUGUAGGUGAAGUCCCUCGCGGAUGGAGCUGAAAUCAGUCGAAGAUACCAGCUGGCUGCAACUGUUUAUUAAAAACACAGCACUGUGCAAACACGAAAGUGGACGUAUACGGUGUGACGCCUGCCCGGUGCCGGAAGGUUAAUUGAUGGGGUCAGCGCAAGCGAAGCUCUUGAUCGAAGCCCCGGUAAACGGCGGCCGUAACUAUAACGGUCCUAAGGUAGCGAAAUUCCUUGUCGGGUAAGUUCCGACCUGCACGAAUGGCGUAAUGAUGGCCAGGCUGUCUCCACCCGAGACUCAGUGAAAUUGAACUCGCUGUGAAGAUGCAGUGUACCCGCGGCAAGACGGAAAGACCCCGUGAACCUUUACUAUAGCUUGACACUGAACAUUGAGCCUUGAUGUGUAGGAUAGGUGGGAGGCUUUGAAGUGUGGACGCCAGUCUGCAUGGAGCCGACCUUGAAAUACCACCCUUUAAUGUUUGAUGUUCUAACGUUGACCCGUAAUCCGGGUUGCGGACAGUGUCUGGUGGGUAGUUUGACUGGGGCGGUCUCCUCCUAAAGAGUAACGGAGGAGCACGAAGGUUGGCUAAUCCUGGUCGGACAUCAGGAGGUUAGUGCAAUGGCAUAAGCCAGCUUGACUGCGAGCGUGACGGCGCGAGCAGGUGCGAAAGCAGGUCAUAGUGAUCCGGUGGUUCUGAAUGGAAGGGCCAUCGCUCAACGGAUAAAAGGUACUCCGGGGAUAACAGGCUGAUACCGCCCAAGAGUUCAUAUCGACGGCGGUGUUUGGCACCUCGAUGUCGGCUCAUCACAUCCUGGGGCUGAAGUAGGUCCCAAGGGUAUGGCUGUUCGCCAUUUAAAGUGGUACGCGAGCUGGGUUUAGAACGUCGUGAGACAGUUCGGUCCCUAUCUGCCGUGGGCGCUGGAGAAUUGAGGGGGGCUGCUCCUAGUACGAGAGGACCGGAGUGGACGCAUCACUGGUGUUCGGGUUGUCAUGCCAAUGGCACUGCCCGGUAGCUAAAUGCGGAAGAGAUAAGUGCUGAAAGCAUCUAAGCACGAAACUUGCCCCGAGAUGAGUUCUCCCUGACUCCUUGA